rnacentral:rRNA from 1 species
GACGUAGGGCGCGAGCGUUGUCCGGAUUUAUUGGGCGUAAAGAGCUCGUAGGCGGCUUGUCGCGUCGACUGUGAAAACCCGCGGCUCAACUGCGGGCCUGCAGCCGAUACGGGCAGGCUAGAGUUCGGUAGGGGAGACUGGAAUUCCUGGUGUAGCGGUGAAAUGCGCAGAUAUCAGGAGGAACACCGGUGGCGAAGGCGGCUAUCUGGCCAUGUACUGACGCUGAGAUACGAAAGCGUGGGGAGCAAACAGG